AGCAGCCGCGGUAAUUCCAGCUCCAAUAGCGUAUAUUAAAGUUGUUGCAGUUAAAAAGCUCGUAGUUGAAUUUCGGGAUUAGUGCGCCGGUCGUGCCUUCGGUAUGUACUGGCGUUACUGGUUCCUACCUUCUGACGAACCGUCAUGUCAUUAAUUUGGUGUGGCGGGGAAUCAGGACUGUUACUUUGAAAAAAUUAGAGUGUUCAAAGCAGGCUUAUGUCUGAAUACAUUAGCAUGGAAUAAUAAAAUAGGACGGUGGUCCUGUUUUGUUGGUUUCUGAAUCACCGUAAUGAUUAAUAGGGAUAGUUGGGGGCAUUAGUAUUCAAUUGUCAGAGGUGAAAUUCUUGGAUUUAU
rnacentral:rRNA from 1 species